AUCUUGCGCAAUGGGCGAAAGCCUGACCCAACUAUGCCGUGUGAAUGUUGUAGUUCAUAGUAUUGUAAAAUUCUUUCACUGGGUACGAAAAUGACGGUACCCGGAGAACACGCACCGGCUAUCUUCGUGCCAGCAGCCGCGGUAAUACGAAGGGGGCUAGCGUUCCUCGGAAUUACUGGGCGUAAAGGGCGCGUAGGCGGACAUUUAAGGCAGGGGUGAAAUCCCAGAGCUCAACUCUGGAACUGCCUUUGAUACUGGGUGUGUUGAGAGUGAGAGAGGUAUGUGGAACUCCGAGUGUAGAGGUGAAAUUCGUAGAUAUUCGGAAGAACACCAGUGGCGAAGGCGACAUGCUGGCUCAUUACUGACGCUGAGGCGCGAAAGCGUGGGGAGCAAACAG
rnacentral:rRNA from 1 species